rnacentral:rRNA from 1 species
UGCAUAUGCAUUUCCGUCCCAAGGAUGAGCCCGCGUCUCAUUAGCUAGUUGGUAGGGUAAUGGCCUACCAAGGCAACGAUGAGUAGCUGGUCUGAGAGGAUGAUCAGCCACACUGGAACUGAAACACGGUCCAGACUCCUACGGGAGGCAGCAGUGGGGAAUAUUGCGCAAUGGGCGAAAGCCUGACGCAGCAACGCCGUGUGAGGGAUGAAGGCUUUCGGGUCGUAAACCUCUGUCGGAAGGGAAGAACGGGUAAGGGUCUAAUAGGCCUUUGUUUUGACGGUACCUUUAGAGGAAGCACCGGCUAACUCCGUG